UACGUAGGAUGCUAGCGUUGUCCGGAUUUACUGGGCGUAAAGCGCGCGCAGGCGGCACUGUAAGUAAGGUGUGAAAUAUCCCUGCUCAACGGGGAGGGUGCACUUUAGACUGCAGAGCUAGAGGACGGUAGAGGGGGGUGGAAUUGCUGGUGUAGCGGUGAAAUGCGUAGAGAUCCGGAAGAACACCGGUGGCGAAGGCGGCCUGCUGGGCAGUUCCUGACGCUGAGGCACGAAGGCCAGGGGAGCAAACGGG
rnacentral:rRNA from 1 species